UCCAGGGAAGACAAAACAGCUGAUAAAAUCUUACACAACAUCCAGUUUCAUUCUCUCCAUACAAGAAUCUGAACUUCUCUCACACCAUAUCCAUUAACACGUCUGGCAUUAGAGCUAUGCUAAUGCUUUUUCCUGAACACAGAGUAACAAAAUAAUAGUAAAGAACUUUCUAUCCUGGAAACCAAUACUGGGCCUAAAAUGAAUGAUUUUUGUAGUGUCGUCCAGGGCAGAACCAGGGGCUAAGCACAGUGCAAGUCACCUCCAAAGGUCUUUUAUUAGAAGUGACAACCAGUUUAGAACAAAAAGUUAAAAAAUAUAUCCCUUACAUAAAACAUCCCAUCUGUAUUUCAGAGCUUUCUGUAGAAGUCCUGACUCGCUGUGUAAAAAUGAUUAAGACCUUGAUUAACAAGCCAGCUUGCAUAAUUUUCUAUUAGUUUCAUUGAAGUCAAAGGAUCAUCUCUUGUGUACCUAAACUUGUUCAGCCAGUUCUCUAUUUUGUUUUUAUGUGUUUGUCAGAAGAGAACGAACUGUUAGUGUAUCACCAAAAACACCAAUAUACUUAGUGUAAAUGAAAGCUUAACCCCAAACAGUCUUAUCAGAGAUGCACAUGUUCAGGCACUAUUCCUACUGCAUGGUCCUUCCUGUCCCUUUUCAAGAGUCAAAGGACAUGACCUCCUUUGAAAGUUGUUUUUGUAUCUGAAGUGAUGAGAGUUUUAGGCUGGUAAAUAUAGGAUUAUAAGGACCAAUUCUCUCAUGAUCCCUUUUCUCUUUCCUUCCUCCAGCUGAAUCUUCACACUUAUGUAUAUUCUUCCAGGGGAGAAAAAAAUGAGCACAUACCAGGUAUUGGUGUCAUUUGAAGAUGUGAGUGUGGACUUCAGUCAGGAAGAAUGGCAUAAAAUGAACCCUGCUCAGUGGACCCUGUACAGAGAUUUCAUGCUGGAGACCUACAGCCAUCUCGUCUCAGUAGGAUAUUGUGUUACCAAACCUGAUGUGAUAUUCAAAUUGGAACAAGGUGAAAGCUGUGGUCCUUGGAGGACAAAUUGCUAAACCAGCAGGAACCAGGUGAGUGAACACUGACAGAAAGAGAUCUGGGGUUGUUUGACCUUAGAAGGAGAACACUUUUGUUAGUUUAUUUUUUUAAUUAUUGAAAUAUAAUUCAUGUAUCAUAUAAUUCCUUACUUAAAGUACAAAGUUCAGUGACUUGGCAUAUGCACAAAUUUAUACAAACAUCACGACAGUCAAUUUUCAUCACUUCAGAAAGAAACCUAUAUCUUUCAGUUAUCACCCUUCUAACCCCUAGCCUCUCUAGUCCUAAGCAAUUACUAAUGUCCUUCUGUCUCUACAUUUGCCUAUUCUGGACAUUUAAUAUAAAUGGAAUUAUAUAACAUUUGAUCAUUUAUUAUUGGUUUCUUUUGCUUAGUUUACAAGAUUGAUAUUCUAGCAUGUAUUAGUACUUCAUCCUUUUGUGGCCAGAUAAUAUAACAUUGUAUGGACAUACCACAUUUUGUUUGCCUAUUCAUUAGUGAUUUGCCUUUUGGCUGUUGUGAAUAAAGCUGAUAUAAACAUUCAUUCACAUGUUUGUAUAUGGAUAUAUGUUUUUAUUUUUCUUAAGUAUAUACUUAGGAUGAAACUGCUGAGUGAUACAGCACCUCUUUGUUUAUAUCUUUAAGGACCUAAUUUUUCUGAUUUAAACACAUCCUCACCAUAAUAGGAGAUUUUAUUCUAACCAUUCUUAUGGAUAUGAAGUGGUCUCCUUGUGGUUUUGAUUUAUAUUUCUGUUAGUCAGCUGGAUCUUACAUAAUAAAAUACCAUAAGCUGAGUGGCUUAAACAACAGAAAUGUAUUUCUCACAGUUGUAUAGCCUGAAAUUCCAAAAUUAAGGUGCCAGUAGGUUGAUUUCUGAUAAGGCCUCUCUUUUUCUUUUCUUUUUUAAAGAUUUUAUUUAUGAAUUUGAGAGGCAGAAUUACAGAUGGUGAGAGGGAGAGACAGAGAGGAAGGUCCUCCAUCCGCUGGUUCACUCCCCAAGGGGCUGCAAUGGCCAGAGUUGAGCCAAUCCAAAGCCAGGAACCAGGAUCUUCAUCCAGGUUUCCCAUGCAGGUGCAAGGGCCCACUGCUGGCUCGGAUCAGUGCAGCACAUCAGCCUUAGCGGCCAUUUGGGGAGUGAACCAACGAAAGGAAGACCUUUCUGUCUGUCUCUCUCUCUCUCACUGUCUAACUCUGCCUGUCAAAAAAAAAAUCUACCUGAUCACUUAGGACAGCAGUGACCUUUUUAUAUGCAUAUUAGCCUUUGUUUAUGCUAUUAUGCAAUCCUGGGAAUUUUCAAGUUACAUUUUUAAAUUAUUUAUUAAAAGAAAGUAAAAUUAUCAGAAUUAUGAGGAAUAAAGCAUACUUACCGAACAUUUUUGUUAUGGAGAAAUAUAAAUAAAGGGCAUAACAUAAAGGCUGACAUAAUUUACGUCAAGUCUGUCUUCCAGUCAGUGCAAAUAAUUGGAUUAGUUGAAAACGAUAUCUCUAAAUAAGUGACUUAGAAAAAUUGUAAUGAAAGAUGUUGAAUUAAUAAAAUAAUUUGGGACUCAUGUUCUGUUAUUAAGAUUUUAACGUAGGGAAUAAGUGCAUUAAAUGAAAAGAGUCCCUUUUAGCUCAUAGCACAGAUUAGAGAAAACCUUUAAGUAUUUUAAUGACUAAACCAAAAAGUAUGUCAGUGUUCAUAAAAUAAUGGAAUUCUAACAACCUAAAACUCAGUAGAAUUAGGAACUCAUACUGUCUCCUCAAACAAGGAACUCAUAACUCUAUCUCACCUGAACAUUAAAUAAACACCCCUACAGAAGGUAUUAAUGACAUUUUUAUUAAAGUGGACAAUACAUUCCAUUGUAUGCCAUCUGCAAAAAACAAACCUUUCAAGUUCCUACAAAAUAAUCAUAAAAUAUUGAAAAUAUAAAUUUUAAAGAGAGAAUCACCACAAAUAUUCCUUGAACAUAGUUUGUAAAAUCUAGAAAUUAAUAAUUGAGUAAACAAAAACACAUGAAAACUUUUCUAAGUUAUCUUUUAAACAUUGUAAAAAAGGAAAUCAAAACCAAAUUUAUGUAAUACUUAAGAAAUGAUAAAUGUAACUCCAAAUUAGAAACCUUCAAAUAUAGCCAAAUUAGUGAGCAUUGAUUAAGCAGUAACAGAAGCACACUGAUGAAAACAGAAGACUUUGAAAGUAAAAUCAGAAAUUAUUACACUGUAAACUGAGAAACAGAAUGUUCUUAGAAUAAAAAAUGAGCUGGCAUUGUUGUGCAGCAGUAAAAGCCACUACCUGCAACACUGGCAUCCCAUACAGGUGCUGGUUCAUUUCUCAGCUGCUUAUCUUCCAAACCAACUCCCACUGCUUGGGAAAAGCAGUGGAAGAUGGCCCAAGUGUUUGAGCCUCUGCUACCCAUCCAGGUGGGAGAUCCAGAUGAACCUCCUGGCUCUGAGCUCCCACCUGGCCUAGCCCUCACCACUACAACCAUCUGGGGAGUGAACCAGCAGAUGGAACAUGUCUCUUUCUCUGUCUCUCCCUCUUUACUUGUAAUUCUGAAUUUCAAAUAAGUAAAUGUGUUCAAAAAAAGAAUAAAAACAAAAAUAGAUGACAGCUAGACAAAAAGAGGAAUCAUCUACAUAUCUAUCCUUAAACUAUAAUCUUGAUUAACUUAUUAAUUAGAAUUAGGUUUUGAAAUUAGGCAGUUUUCUUAUCUUCUUUAUUAAUUUUAAAAUGACCUUUUUAAUCCUCACAAAACAAGUAUUGAAGCAUUUUAAGGGACUAUGUUGAAUUUAUAAAUCAAAUUAAGGAGAAUUGACAUCUUAGAAUUUAGAAUUUAGUUUCCCAGUCCAUAAACAAAAUAUACCUCCCACUUAUUUAGGAUUUCUUUCAUUAAUGUUUUGUGGUUUUCAGUAUACUAUACCAAGGCUUUGUGCUAUGAUAAAUGAUACUGUUUCUCUCAUUUCAGAUUCCACUUGAUUUGUUCACAGCUGUAAGACUGUUUGUAGACCACAUAUUCUGCCCUUGUUAAAAAUUCUUACUAGGGGGUAAGCAUUUGACAUAGCAGAUAAGAUGUAGCUCUGUAUCCCCGCAACCCAUAUUAGAGACCUGCUUCUGAUUCCAGCCUUUUACUCAUGUAUACCUGGGAAGCACCAAGUGAUGCCUCAAGUAAUUGAGUCUCUGCUUCCUUUAUGGCAGACCUGAACUGAGUUCCAGGCCCUUGGUUUCAGCCUGGGCCAGUCCUAGAUUUUUCAGGUUUUUGGAGGAGUGAAUCAGCAGAUAGAUCUAUCUCUGUCUUUAGCUGUCUGCCUUUCAAAAAUAAAAAAUGAAUAAAUAAAUAAAUAAGUAACGUCAAAAACCAUUUACUAGUUUAAGGAGCUUUUUUGUAGUUAUUGUUGUGAUUUUGAGGGAGAUAGAUUUACUCUUGAUCUUUUUUGCUUUAUUCUUAACCUUUUUGCAUAUGCUGCAUGCUGACACUUCAGUAAAAUCUUGAAUAAAGAUUGUGAGAAUAGACAUUCUUGUCUUUCCCUAAUCUUGGAGAACAUUUAAUCUUACACUUUUAAGUGUGAUAUUAGCUAUAGGCUUUCUGUAAAUGCCUUUUUAUUGAGUUAAUGAAUGGAUUUUGAAUUUUGUUAAAAUUUUUUAUAUCAAAUGAUAUGUGGUUUUAAUUCUUUGGGCUUUCACUAGUUCACUGUUCAAAUGCUCACAACAGCCUGGUCUGAGCCAGGCUGAAGCUAGGAGCUGAAAAUUCAACCCAGGUCUCCCACAUGAGUGGAAAGAACCCAACUGUUUGAAUCAUUGCUCCUGCCUCUCAGGGUCUGCAUUAGCAAGAAAGUGGAGUCCAGGACCAUAACCUAGUAUUUAACCCAGGUAUUCAGAUGUGGGAUUUGGGUAGACUAGGAAAUGCCUGCCCCUGGUUUAUUUUCUAGAAUUUUCAUUGGUCUUGUAAGGAAAUUCAAGUCUCAGAAUUAUUUGGGAAAUAUUACCUCAGCUUAUAUUUUCUUGAAGAGACUGUGUGGAAUUGGUAUUAUUUCUUCCUUAGAUGCUUGGGAGAAUUCACUAAUUAAAAUCAUUUGGUCUUGGAACUAUUAUUUGGAACUCUGUAUGUGUGGGUCUUGGGCAAGAUAGUGUCUACAUAUUCAGUUUGCUACAUAACAUAAUAUUGGUAAGUUCACAUUAUAUCUUUCUCAUUGAGUGAAUUAUUAAUUUUUUCCAAGAAAUUAUUGUUUCACUUAAAUUUUUUAGUUUAUGAGCAUAGAGUUUGCAAUGGACUUCAUAUUUUUACUCUCCCCAUUUCUGUGCCAAAAUCCCUAUGUGAUUUAUUUGGAGGUGGGACCCUUAGAAAGUAAUGAGAUUAUGAAUGGGGCCCUUUUGAGUGAGAUUAGAAUGUCUUUACAAGAUGCCAGAGAGCUUCAUAGUUCUUUUUACUGUUAAGGAUACAACAAAACAUCUGUAAUCCUUCACCCAGAAGAGGCCCUUCCCUCACAGAAACGUGAUCACAAGGGCUGGUACCCUCAUGUUGGAAUCCCAGCCUCCAGAACUGAGGAAAAUAAAUGUUUAUUGUUUAAGGCCCCUGAUGGUAGCAGCCUUAACUAAGACAGCAUUUAUGUUAAUAUUUCUUUCAUUUCUAUUGUGUUGGUAGUUAUGUCCCCUUUUACAUUUCUAAUAUUAUGUCUUGUUUCCUCUGUUUUUCACAUUUAAAAAAACUUUCCAAAGAAUGUUUCUUUGGUUUUUCUGUUUUCAGUUUCAUUUUUAUGUGAUCUAAUCUUUAUUAUUUUCUUCCUUCUACUUUCUUUAGAUUUAAUUCCCUCUCCCUAGAAUAUUAAAGGGGGAAAACCGGUAUCUGACUAGAGAUCUUUCUUUUCUGUUUUAAAAAUGUUAAGCCACAAAUUCAUUUCUCAGCACUGCUUUAGCUGCACCCCAAAAUUUGUUUUUUCUGUUUUUAUUCACUUCAAAAAAACCUAAUUUUCUGUAAGAUUUCCUCUUUUACCUUGUAUUAAUUAAAAGUGUAUAAUUAUAAUAUUUUAUUUAUUCAGAUAGCUUUGCACUUACUGAUUUCUAGUAUAAUUUGUGGCUAAAGAUAAUCCUGUCUAUAAUUUCACUUUCUUAAUACUUAUGGCGAUUUAUCUUAUAGCUGGAGUGCAGUGUCUUGAUGAGUGUUUCAUAUACAUUUGAAUUCAGUGGUUGUUGAAUGUAUUGUAUCCUCUGGUUUAAGAGAUACAGUUAUAAUUGCUACUUUAUCUCUCCUACCUAUAGUACCUGGCCUACUAAGCAUCCCUACGUAUUAUUUCUGUGCUUUCUCUUCUCUUUGUUUGUUUGUUUCUUUACUUCUCUCAGAUAUUUUUUAAGAUGUAUUAAUUUAUUUGAAAAAGUUACACACAGGGAGGAGAGACAGAGAGAGAGAGAGAGGUCUUCCAUCUGCUGGUUCACUCCUCAACUGGCCAUAAUGGGCGGAGCUGUGCUAAUCUGAAGAUAGGAGCCGGGAGCUUCCUCUGGGUCUUCCCACAUGGGUGCAGGAGCCCAAGGACUUGGGCCAUAGCAGAGAACUGGGCAGAAAGUGGAGCAGCCGGGACUCGAACUGGCACCCAUAUGGGAUGCCAGCACUGUAGGCGGUGGCUUUACCAGCUAUGCCACAGUGCCAGCUCUUCUUCAACUUCUAUUGAAUGGCAACUAGUACUCUAAAACAACAGAUUUUUUCUUCUUGCAGAUUAAGACAUUUGUUCCACCAUUUAGAUAAUAAUAUUUUUCCAGGUGGAAUUUUGAUACUGGCUGCUGGUAAUUGUUCCAGCAUACCCCAAGAAUGAAAUAUUAUCUGCAUUCUUCAUGAUCAUUCCUAUGAGCUCCAGGUUUGGCACACAGCAGGGUGGGGGUGGGGGGUAUAUUACAUGAGCAUCCAGAUCCUCUGUAUCUGUGGUUGUGGCUGUCUCAGUAGAUUAGCUCUCCUGCUCAGCUUGAAUGGAACCACACAGUGAAUCCUCUGUUUUUGUUUGACCUGAGUAUGGUGGAUUCUAUGAAAAGUUUUUCUGUUAGAUCAUAUUUUCUCAGAUCUAGAAGGAAUAGGCUUUUCUUGAUUAUACCCCAGAUUAUAGGUGUCUUAAGUACCCAGACUAUAUUGAUGGGAAGCAGUAAGAAAUGCCUGGGAAUUUUGUUCUCUGUCAUUUCUGAAGUCUACUUCCUUUCCAUUCUGUAGAAUUGUCACUUGCUAAUUUUUUUUGACAGGAACUUAAUUGUUAGAGGAGGCCCCUGGGAAAAAGCAGUACUCCAUUCUGGCUGGCAUUGACAAUAAUACCUAUUUGUUUAAACAUUAUGGAUGAUGAAAAAGAGAAUGUUUGUCUGUGUGUAUCAGUUAUUUAAUCUUUGUAACACGACCAGAAACAACAGAAUAAAAUCUAUAACAUAACUAUUUGUUUUUCUUGAUAAGAAAUACAACACUUUUUAAAUGUUUUCUAUUUUUCUCAUUUUAGGGUAUUACAGAGUUAAUGUACACAUCAAAGGGACCCAGAAAAAAACAAAUACAUCCUCUCUGGCAAGUAAUAUUCAUUGAUGACCAACACUGAGUUAAAAAAAGACAGAAAGUUUUAGUAAAAAUGCCUAAUCUGAAUAUAGCUCCAGCUUUUUCAAGAAUAACACUCUUUAAAUGUGAAGCAUAUAGAAUGAAUUCUCCAGCUGUUUCUGAAUUAUUUAGUGAAGGAAGCUAUUUAAGAAAGAAAGUUGAUUACAUGAAUGUGUGUGAACAAUUGCAGCUUGAUAUUGAGCAUCAAAAAACUCAUCCUGAAGAGAAACUUUACAAAUAUAAUGCAAAUGUGAAAGCUCCCAGUUAUAACAAAAAUCAACAUCAGAAAUUUCAAACUUUGAAGCAAUCUUUUGAAUAUAAUGAUUUUGGAAAUUUUUUAUGUAAUAAGACUCUCUGUAGUGCAGUUGAAAGUUCUCCAACAGGAAGGAAGCCCUAUAAGAGUGAUGAAUUUGGGGAAAACUAUAAUAAAAUAAUACUACUUGACCACGUAAGAACUGCUACAAGGAGAAGAUGCCCUGAUCUUAAUGAAUGUGGGAAAUCCUGUAACAAAACCACCACUGUAGAAUACAAUAAAGUUCAUGUGGCUAUGACACACCAUGAAUGUAGUGAAACUGGAAUUAUUUUUUUGGUACAAAAUCACCUCUCACUCAGUCUCCAAGGUCUAUUAUAAGACAGAAUAUUUGUGAAAGCAAUGCAUAUGAAGAAAACUUAAUCCAGGGCCUAUCCCAUGUGGUACACCAGAAAACACAACCUGGAGAUAAGUUCAGUGAAUAUAAUAGAUGUACAAAUGCCUUCUAUAAGAUAUUAGACCUUUCAGUGCAUAGAGAACUGGAGAACAAGUCUAUGAACUUGAUGAAUAUAGUAAAUCUGAGAAACUGUACCACAAAGCACAUCACAUUCAGCAUCAAAGAGCUGUCUCAGGUGAGAAACCUUAUGAAUGUGAGGAAUAUAAAAAAUCUUUUUCAAAUUCACACUCAGUUCAACAUCCUGAAACUCAUAGAGGGUUCAGACAUUAUGGAUGUAAUGAAUAUAGGGGGACAGUCUAUAAGAAGUCAAAGCUCAGUGAACAUCUGGGAAUUCACAUAGAGAAAAAACCUUAUGAUAACAAUGGCUGUGAGAAUUCUUUUAAGUCUUCCCAAAUAGGACACCAAAGAACAGACACAAAAAUUAAACUCUAUUAAGGCUGUGAAUAUGGGAAAGCACUCCUCAAGAUGGUACAUCUCAGAGAACAUCUGACAGUUCACACAGGGAAGAAAUCCUAUGAAUGUAUUGAAUGUGGGAAAACAUUUUCCAAGACAUCAUAUCUCAGAGCACAUCAGAGAACUCACACAGGUAAAAAACCUUAUGAAUGCAAUGAGUGUGGCAAAACUUUCUCUCACAAGACACACCUCAGUGCACAUCAGAGAAUUCACACAGGGGAGAAACCUUAUGCAUGUAAUGAAUGUGGAAAAGCUUUUGCUGAUAAGUCAACCCUCAGAGCACAUCAGAGAAUUCAGAGAAUUCAUACUGGGGAGAAACCCUAUGAGUGUAAUGAAUGUGGGAGACCUUUUGCCCAUAUUUCUGUACUUAGAGCACAUCAAUUCACACAGGGGAGAAACCAUACAAAUGUAAUGAGUGUGGGAGAUCUUUUACAUAUAAUUCAGCCUUCAGAGCACAUCUGAGAACUCACACAGGUGAGAAGCCUUAUGAAUGCAAUAGCUGUGAGAAAACUUUUGCCCACAAUUCAGCCCUAAGAGUACAUCAGUGAAAAUACACAGGGCAGAAGCCCUAUGAAUGUAAUGACUGUGAGAAAACGUUUGCACAUAAUUCAACCCUCAGAGCACAUCAGAAAAUUCACACUAGAGAGAAACUCUAUGAAUGUGGUGAAUGUGGAAAAACAUUUUCCCAGAAGACAUGCCUCAGUACACAUCAAAGAAUUCACACGGGAGAAACCCUAUGAAUGUAAUAAGUGUGGGAAAACUUUCUCACAGAAGUCAUACCUCACUGAA